rnacentral:rRNA from 1 species
AGCCAGACUCCUACGGGAGGCAGCAGUGGGGAAUAUUGGGCAAUGGGCGCAAGCCUGACCCAGCAAUGCCGCGUGAAGGAAGAAGGCUUUCGGGUUGUAAACUUCUUUGACAGGGGAAGAGCAGAAGACGGUACCCUGAAAACAAGCCACGGCUAACUACGUGCCAGCAGCCGCGGUAAUACGUAGGUGGCAAGCGUUGUCCGGAUUUACUGGGUGUAAAGGGCGUGUAGCCGGGCUGACAGGUCAGAUGUGAAAUCCGGGGGCUCAACCCCCGAACUGCAUUUGAAACUGUUGGUCUUGAGUAUCGGAGAGGCAGGCGGAAUUCCUAGUGUAGCGGUGAAAUGCGUAGAUAUUAGGAGGAACACCAGUGGCGAAGGCGGCCUGCUGGACGACAACUGACGGUGAGGCGCGAAAGCGUGGGGAGCAAACAGGAUUAGAUACCCCGGUAA